GCAGUUAUGGCGGAAUUGGCAGACGCGCUAGAUUCAGGUUCUAGUGCCCGCAAGGGCGUGGAGGUUCGAGUCCUCUUAACUGCACCA
rnacentral:tRNA from 2 species